GUGCGUACGUGCGUCGUCUCUAUGGUGGCGGCGGAUUUGGACGGACCCUACGAACCAGGAGUCAGGCGAGCCGAUCUGGGGCUGCAGGAUGUUCCGCUGGGAGCGCUCCAUUCCCCUGCGAGGCUCGGCCGCCGCCCUGUGCAACAACCUCAGUGUGCUGCAGCUGCCGGCUCGCAACCUCACGUAUUUUGGCGUGGUUCAUGGACCAAGCGCCCAGCUUCUCAGCGCUGCUCCUGAGGGUGUGCCCUUGGCCCAGCGCCAGCUCCAUGCUAAGGAGGGUGCUGGAGUGAGCCCCCCACUUAUCACUCAGGUCCACUGGUGUGUCCUCCCCUUCCGAGUGCUGCUGGUACUCACCUCACAUCGAGGAAUACAGAUGUACGAGUCCAAUGGCUACACCAUGGUCUACUGGCAUGCACUGGACUCUGGAGAUGCCUCCCCAGGUACCUGCAGGACCAAGUAGGGUGGGGGCAGGGAGUGUUUGCUACGGCUGCAGGAGGGGAUAUUUCUGAUCAUUCUCGCCUUUCAUAUUCAGUACAGGCUGUGUUUGCCCGGGGAAUUGCUGC
rnacentral:sRNA from 1 species